UACGUAGGGACCGAGCGUCGUCCGGAAUCAUUGGGCGUAAAGAGCGUGUAGGCGGCCAACUAAGUCCUGCGUGAAAUCUCGGGGCUCAACCCCGAGCGGUCGUGGGAAACUGGUUGGCUAGAGUGCGGGAGAGGAGAGUGGAAUUCCUGGUGUAGCGGUGAAAUGCGCAGAUAUCAGGAAGAACACCCGUGGCGAAGGCGGCUCUCUGGAACGCAACUGACGCUGAGACGCGAAAGCGUGGGGAGCAAACAGG
rnacentral:rRNA from 1 species